UGAUGAGAAGACUGAUGAUGAUGAUGAUGAUGAUGAUGAUGAUGAUGAUCGGCGACCAUCAUCAUCAUCGUUAUCAUCACCAUUACCAUCGACA
rnacentral:pre_miRNA from 1 species